AUGGAUAAUGCUGCUUAUUCAUGGAACAAAAACUUCUUUGAUGCUCACAUGGCUGAUUUGAAAAAAGAGAGUGAAAGUGCAUGGGAAUGGUUGAGCAACAUACAUCCUAAACACUGGGCCAGAUGGGCAAUGGACACUACAUGCAAGACAGAUUUAGUAGUCAACAACUUGAGUGAAGUUUUUAACAACUAUAUCCUGGAUGUUAGAGAUAAACCAAUUGUCACCAUGAUAGACAGCAUAAGAACUAAACUACUGGUUAGGUAUGCCAUAAAUAGGGAAGGUAGAGCUGAUUGUGCUUGGGAGAUCACACCAACUUAUACCGAAAAACUAGAGUUGGAGAAAAUGGCAGCCAAACCAUGUAGGCCAGUUCAUGCAGGGCAGGGACUGUAUCAGGUAGCAAGUGGAGAGAGAACAUAUGCAGUCAACAUUGUCGCUAGGACCUGUGGAUGUAGAAAGUGGGACAUCACAGGGGUGCCUUGCAAGCAUGCAGUGUCUUGCAUCUAUAAGAGGAAGGAGCACCCAGAAGAUUAUAUCGGUGACUUCUUCAAAAAACAUAUGUACCAACUUGCAUACAACAACAUGAUCUAUCCAGUGCCUGACAAAAGUGGUUGGACAAAGACUGACACAAUAGACAUUGAUCCCCCUAUUUUUACAAGGCAUCCAGGUAGACCAAAGAAAAAUAGAAGGAAGGGAAUUCAUGAGGUGCCACAGCCCAGUGGAAACAAUAGGAUGACAACCACAACCUGCUCAAACUGCAACCUACAAGGUCACAAGUACACACACUGUGCUCAACCUUUGAGGCCUGACUUGGAGAUUAGGAGAAAUAAGCACAAAAGUAAUAGAAGGAUACCUGACUAUGUUAUAGCACAAGAGGAGGAAGAUGUGGCGCAAGAGGAGGCAUAUGUUGAACAAGAAGGGCUUGGCCAACAAGAGGAGUAUGUAGCACAACUAGAAAAGACAAUGGAAGAACAACUAGAAGAACUAGCAGAGGCGCCAGAGAGAGAAGUUGCAGAGAAAGAAGCUCAAAUUGCGGCCAAGCAUGCUGCCCAGGUGGCUGCACAAAGAUCAGCUGUUGCAGCCAAGAAAGCAGCUCAAAAGGCACUUGCAGCAGCUAAGAGGGCUGAACAAAAAGCAAAAACGGCAGCACUUCAAGCAGAUCAAAGAGCACACGCGGCAACUCAGUUGACAACUGAGGAGUGUGAAGGAGCACAAGAACAAGUAGCAGAAAGAGUAAGAUUUGUGCCAGCACCAAGAGGUGGAAGAGGAGCGACAAGAGGUGGAAGAGGAGGAAGAACAACAACUACAAGUGGCAGAACAUCAGCAACAUCUGCAAGAGGUGGAAGAACAACAUCUGCAAGAGGUGGAAGAACAACAUCUGCCAGAGGUGGAAGAACAACAUAUGCAAUUUUACAACCAACUCCAAUAAACAUGCCUUGGCAUCCUCCUGGCCCAAGCACUGGUGGAGGCAGGGGCAUGGAAAAAAUGCCAGUCACAAGAGGCAGGGGCACAUCAACAAAUGGCAGGAUGAUGGGCUACUUCACAGCCAGUGGGAACUACUAG
rnacentral:rRNA from 1 species